UAUUGGACAAUGGGGGAAAGCCUGAUCAGCAAUGUCGCGUGUGUGAAGAAGGUCUUCGGAUUGUAAAGCACUUUCGACAGGGACGAUGAUGACGGUACCUGUAGAAGAAGCCCCGGCUAACUUCGUGCCAGCAGCCGCGGUAAUACGAAGGGGGCUAGCGUUGCUCGGAAUGACUGGGCGUAAAGGGCGCGUAGGCGGAUGGUACAGUCAGAUGUGAAAUUCCUGGGCUUAACCUAGGGACUGCAUUUGAUACGUAUGAUCUAGAGUGAGGAAGAGGGUCGUGGAAUUCCCAGUGUAGAGGUGAAAUUGGUAGAUAUUGGGAAGAACACCGGUGGCGAAGGCGGCGACCUGGUCCUUUACUACGCUGAGCGGAAA
rnacentral:rRNA from 1 species